rnacentral:lncRNA from 1 species
AGCAGAGGUAGCAUCCUUAAAUUUCAUGUUCCAAUUCCGCCUGUCAAUAGAAAAAUUACCAUCUCCAGGAAAUGAUUGCCCAUAUCCCAACCUUUCAUCCUUGAAACCUAAGUGCCAUGAACCACCAUCAUGAACACAAUAUUGCCUUAAAAGUUCUACAACAGCUCUAGCAGCUAGGCUUGCAUGUUCUACAAACUCAGCCGCUGCUUGAGCAAUAGAGGUAGCAUCCUUAAAUUUUAUGUUCCAAUUCUACCUGCCAAUAGAAAAAUUACCAUUACCAUAUCCAGGAAAUGAUUGCCCAUGUUCCAACCUAUCAUCCUUGAAACCUAAAUGGAAUGAACCACCAUCAUCAAUACAAUAUUGCCUUAAAAGUUCUACAACAACUCUGGAAGCUAGGCUUACAUGUUCUGCACACUCAGACGCUGCUUGAGCAGCAGAGGUAGCAUCCUUAAAUUUCAUGUUCCAAUUCUGCCUGCCAACAGAAAAAUUACCAUUACCAUCUCCAGGAAAUGCUUGCCCAUGUUCCAACCUUUCAUCCUUGAAACCUAAGUGGCAUGA